CACGCCGUAAACGAUGGUCACUAGUUGUUGGGUAUUUAUACUCGGUGACUAAGCGAAAGUGAUAAGUGACCCACCUGGGGAGUACGAUCGCAAGAUUGAAACUCAAAGGAAUUGACGGGGGCCCGCACAAGCGGUGGAGCAUGUGGUUUAAUUCGAUGAUACGCGAGGAACCUUACCAGGGCUUAAAUGUAAGUUGCAUAGAUCAGAGAUGGUCUUUUCUUCGGACUACUUACAAGGUGCUGCAUGGUUGUCGUCAGCUCGUGCCGUGAGGUGUCAGGUUAAGUCCUAUAACGAGCGCAACCCCUACCGUUAGUUGCCAGCAUGUAAAGAUGGGGACUCUAGCGGGACUGCCAGUGCAAACUGU
rnacentral:rRNA from 1 species